AAAGUCGUAACAAGGUUUCCGUAGGUGAACCUGCGGAAGGAUCAUUAAAGCGUUGCCGACGUCGGCCCCGGCCCCCAGGCUUGAGAUACAGUCUGGGCGGCUCUGGAGGCCACCGGCAGUUGCCCCAUUCUUGUCUACUUACCUAGUUGCCUCGGCGGGCCGUUCCGCCCGCGGCCGGCCGGAAGCCGUCUGGACCUUAGGGUUCCGGCGGACCUGGUCUGCGCCCGCCGAAGGACAAUCUAAAACUCAUUAUAUAUUGGCCGUCUGAGCGUUAAAGCAAAUCAAUUAAAACUUUCAACAACGGAUCUCUUGGUUCCG
rnacentral:misc_RNA from 1 species